rnacentral:rRNA from 1 species
GGGCUCAACCUGGGAGCUGCAUUUGAAACUGGGCAUCUAGAGUGCAGGAGAGGAAAGUGGAAUUCCUAGUGUAGCGGUGAAAUGCGUAGAGAUUAGGAAGAACACCAGUGGCGAAGGCGACUUUCUGGACUGUAACUGACACUGAGAUACGAAAGCGUGGGUAGCAAACAGGAUUAGAUACCCUGGUAGUCCACGCCGUAAACGAUGAAUACUAGGUGUCGGGGGGUACCACCCUCGGUGCCGCAGCAAACGCAUUAAGUAUUCCGCCUGGGGAGUACGGUCGCAAGAUUAAAACUCAAAGGAAUUGACGGGGACCCGCACAAGCAGCGGAGCAUGUGGUUUAAUUCGAAGCAACGCGAAGAACCUUACCUAGACUUGACAUCUCCUGAAUUACUCUUAAUCGAGGAAGUCCCUUCGGGGACAGGAAGACAGGUGGUGCAUGGUUGUCGUCAGCUCGUGUCGUGAGAUGUUGGGUUAAGUCCCGCAACGAGCGCAACCCUUAUUGUUAGUUGCUACUAUUAAGUUAAGCACUCUAACGAGACUGCCGCGGUUAACGUGGAGGAAGGUGGGGAUGACGUCAAAUCAUCAUGCCCCUUAUGUCUAGGGCUACACACGUGCUACAAUGGCUGGUACAACGAGCAGCAAACCCGCGAGGGGGAGCAAAACUUGAAAGCCAGUCCCAGUUCGGAUUGUAGGCUGAAACUCGCCUACAUGAAGUUGGAGUUGCUAGUAAUCGCGAAUCAGCAUGUCGCGGUGAAUACGUUCCCGGGUCUUGUACACACCGCCCGUCACACCAUGAGAGCCGGUAACACCCGAAGCCCGUGAGGUAACCGUAAGGAGCCAGCGGUCGAAGGUGGGAUUGGUGAUUGGGGUGAAGUCGUAACAAGGUAGCCGUAGGAGAACCUGCGGCUGGAUCACCUCCUUUCUAGGGAGA